rnacentral:lncRNA from 1 species
CCAAUCUAAGUGCUGUUUUAGUUUUAGUAUAUAAUUUACUUGUAGCUGCCAAAAAAAUAGAGCAUGCCAGGGUUGGGGUGAAUACCAUUUUAAAUCCAGUCAAUUCAGGAAGUACACUCAAAUUCCAAUUCUCUUCAAUGCUUUUCAAUGAGGAACAUUUUGAACUGUAAUUGGGUUUACAUUCUGAAUUGACUGAAAUUGAAAUGGUAUUGACCACAACCCUGGAGAAUACCAUAUUGUAGUUCAUGACAGCAUACCAUACUGUAGUUCAUGACAGCAUACCAUACUGUAGUUCAUGACAGCAUACCCUACUGUAGUUCAUGACAGCAUACCAUACUGUAGUUCAUGACAGCAUACCAUACUGUAGUUCAUGACAGCAUACCCUACUGUAGUUCAUGACAGCAUACCAUACUGUAGUUCAUGACAGCAUACCAUACUGUAGUUCAUGACAGCAUACCCUACUGUAGUUCAUGACAGCAUACCAUACUGGAGUUCAUGACAGCAUACCAUACUGUAGUUCAUGACAGCAUACCCUACUGUAGUUCAUGACAGCAUACCAUACUGGAGUUCAUGACAGCAUACCAUACUGUAGUUCAUGACAGCAUACCAUACUGUAGUUCAUGACAGCAUACCAUACUGUAGUUCAUGACAGCAUACCAUUUUGUAGUUCAUGACAGCAUACCAUUUUGUAGUUCAUGACAGCGUAGGGGUACUGUACUUCAUGACAGCAUAGGGGUACUGUAGUUCAUGACAGCAUACCAUACUGUAGUUCAUGACAGCAUACCAUACUGUAGUUCAUGACAGCAUACCAUUUUGUAGUUCAUGACAGCGUAGGGGUACUGUAGUUCAUGACAGCAUAGGGGUACUGUAGUUCAUGACAGCAUACCAUACUGUAGUUCAUGACAGCAUACCCUACUGUAGUUCAUGACAGCAUACCAUACUGUAGUUCAUGACAGCAUACCAUUUUGUAGUUCAUGACAGCAUACCAUACUGUAGUUCAUGAGAGCAUACCAUACUGUAGUUCAUGACAGCAUACCAUACUGUAGUUCAUGACAGCAUACCAUACUGUAGUUCAUGACAGCAUACCAUUUUGUAGUUCAUGACAGCAUAGGGGUACUGUAGUUCAUGACAGCAUACCAUACUGUAGUUCAUGACAGCAUACUAUACUGUAGUUCAUGACAGCAUACCCUACUGUAGUUCAUGACAGCAUACCAUACUGUAGUUCAUUACAGCAUACCAUUUUGUAGUUCAUGACAGCAUAGGGGUACUGUAGUUCAUGACAGCAUACCCUACUGUAGUUCAUGACAGCAUACUAUACUGUAGUUCAUGACAGCAUACCAUACUGUAGUUCAUGACAGCAUACCAUUGUGUAGUUCAUGACAGCAUACUAUACUCUAGUUCAUGACAGCAUACCAUACUGUAGUUCAUGACAGCAUACCAUUGUGUAGUUCAUGACAGCAUACCAUUUUGUAGUUCAUGACAGCAUAGGGGUACUGUAGUUCAUGACAGCAUACCAUACUGUAGUUCAUGACAGCAUACCAUACUGUAGUUCAUGACAGCAUACCCUACUGUAGUUCAUGACAGCAUAUUAUACUGUAGUUCAUGACAGCAUAGGGGUAAUGUAGUUCAUGACAGCAUACCAUUUUGUAGUUCAUGACAGCAUACCCUACUGUAGUUCAUGACAGCAUACCCUACUGUAGUUCAUGACAGCAUACCCUACUGUAGUUCAUGACAGCAUACCCUACUGUAGUUCAUGACAGCAUACCCUACUGUAGUUCAUGACAGCAUACCAUACUGUAGUUCAUGACAUGUUCAUUUGUUUUCAUGACAACGUCCAUUUUGUCUGCUGGGAAGGGAUGUAUAUGCAGAUGCUUUGAAAUGGACAAUACUUUCCCAGUUUACGUCCCCAACGCUGGCUUGCUCUCCAUAUCUGUAUGUGAAAUAGCUCAACUCAGAGAUGUAAUGAGGUCCAUUGUGUUUUGUGGCGUAUAACAAAGUUAUUAUAAAGAAGGACUUCGUCAGACUCGCAGGUCCAAUAGACAAAUUUGACAAUCAAACACCAACCAGGGCUGUCCUCAAAGAACUUGAACGAGCGAACAUUGAUUUCUUGGUGUAUUUUAGAAAUGUGAUUUUGUUGUAAUGUUUUGAUGAUAGCUUGAGGGUGGUCAGGAGACGACUUCAACCCAACCUUUCUCUGUCUGAUUUCAAGAUUUUUGAACAUGGUUUUUAGAAUUAUUUUGAUAUAAAGAGUUUCAAAUCAAACGAUCUAGCAUUCAUCUUGCAGAGAAUAGCAUGUCAGUAAUAAACAAUACUACUCCAGGUAUUUUGCGUAGGACAAGGCUACACUGUGACAGUGCUGAUUUCAGACCAUAAGCUAAUGUGUUUGAACUGAGAGCCAGUUAGAAGCUAUUACCACCGAAAUACGACUGUCACACAAAUACAACCCAAAGUUCAGUGUUUUACCAUGUCAGUUGUAUGUUCUUAAAAAAAGGAAACUAAUUGUGUUUGUGCUCAAUGUGAAAGAAACAAACGGAUUAACUCCUAGAGGUUUUUGAAGGUAAUAAAAUGUAACUUGUAAACAGUGGUUCUUGGGAUAGAGUAACAUUUUGUGUGAGACUUUCUCCUUCAUGACCUUGUUGUCUUGCGAUGUCGCUAUAUGUGUGCUAGUAUUUCGUUAGGUGUGCCAGUGGUUUCUGGUUGGUCUGAAACUGCUGAUGACGUGUAUUACUGCUGUAAAGUGCCCUCUGUAUGGAAACAGUGGAGCACAUCCUACUCAUGUAACACCAUUACUAUUGCUGAUCUCCUCAUCCUCCACAUCCUAAUCCUCCUCCUCCACAUCCUCCAUAUCCACAUCCUCCAUAUCCACAUCCUCCACAUCCUCCUCCUCCUCCUCCUCAUCCAUAUUAACCUCUUCCUCCUCCACAUCCUCCACAUCCUCCUCCUCCUCCUCCUCCUCCUCCUCC